CCUACGGGAGGCAGCAGUGGGGAAUAUUGCACAAUGGGGGAAACCCUGAUGCAGCGACGCCGCGUGAGUGAAGAAGUAAUUCGUUAUGUAAAGCUCUAUCAGCAGGGAAGAAAAUGACGGUACCUGAGUAAGAAGCCCCGGCUAACUACGUGCCAGCAGCCGCGGUAAUACGUAGGGGGCAAGGGUUAUCCGGAUUUACUGGGUGUAAAGGGAGCGUAGACGGCAGUGCAAGUCUGGAGGGAAAGGCGGGGGCUCAACCCCAGGACUGCUCUGGAAACUGUACGGCUUGAGUGCAGGAGAGGUAAGUGGAAUUCCUAGUGUAGCGGUGAAAUGCGUAGAUAUUACGAAGAACACCAGUGGCGAAGGCAGCUUACUGGACUGUAACUGACGUUGAGGCUCGAAAGCGUGGGGAGCAAACAGGAUUAGAUACCCCGGUAGUC
rnacentral:rRNA from 1 species